AAAGGGUGCGCAAGCGGAAUAGUAAGUCAGAGGUGAAAGCCCACAGCUCAACUGUGGAAUUGCCUUUGAUACUGUUAUUCUUGAGUGUAGUUGAAGUAGNCGGAAUAUAGCAUGUANCGGUGAAAUGCAUAGAUAUGCUAUAGAACACCAAUUGCGAAGGCAGCUUGCUAAACUAUAACUGACGCUGAGGCACGAAAGCGUGGGGAGCGAACAGGAUUAGAUACCCUGGUAGUCCACGCCGUAAACUAUGAACACUCGCUGUUGGCAAUACACAGUCAGCGGCUGAGCGAAAGCGUUAAGUGUUCCACCUGGGAAGUACGAUCGCAAGGUUGAAACUCAAAGGAAUUGACGGGGGCCCGCACAAGCGGAGGAGCAUGUGGUUUAAUUCGAUGAUACGCGAGGAACCUUACCUGGGCUUAAAUGUAUAUUGACGUACUGAGAAAUCAGUAUUUCUUCGGACAAUUUACAAGGUGCUGCAUGGUUGUCGUCAGCUCGUGCCGUGAGGUGUCGGGUUAAGUCCCAUAACGAGCGCAACCCCUACUUCUAGUUACCAGCAUUUCGGAUGGGGACUCUAGAGGAACUGCCUACGCAAGUAGAGAGGGAGGUGGGGAUGACGUCAAAUCAGCACGGCCCUUAUGUCCAGGGCUACACACGUGCUACAAUGGCCGGUACAGAGGGCAGCUACAUAGCAAUAUGAUGCUAAUCUCAAAAGCCGGUCUCAGUCCGGAUUGGAGUCUGCAACUCGACUCCAUGAAGCUGGAUUCGCUAGUAAUCGCACAUCAGCAAUGGUGCGGUGAAUACGUUCCCGGGCAUUGUACACACCGCCCGUCAAGCCAUGGAAGUUGGGGGUACCUGAAGUCGAUUGCCGUAAGGCGUUGCCUAGGGUAAGCCAAUGACUGGGGCUAAGUCGUCACAAG
rnacentral:rRNA from 1 species